AGCCACAUCGCACUGAAGCACUGGCUCACAUAUGAUCACUGAAGUUAAGCAAUGUUAAACCUGGUCAGUACCUUGAUGCAUAACCCCUUGGGAAUACCAGGUGCUAUA